GGGUCCGCAACGAAGAAAAAUCUGGUACACUUUCCAAAAAAUCAAAAAAAUCCAAAAUCCACCAGUAAUCCAGAAAAUCCUUGCAAUAAUCCAAAAAAUCCAAGGAAAUCCAGUCACAA